AGCUCCAAUAGCGUAUAUUAAAGUUGUUGCAGUUAAAAAGCUCGUAGUUGGAUUUCUGGCUUUUUGUAGUGGACGGCCCGCCUUCGGGUUGAGUGCUGGAAGCUCGAGCCUUUUUAUCGGUUUGUGCCGUUUCCCUUGAUUGUGGCGACGCGUGCGAUCCGGUUCAGUUACCUUGAAAAAAUCCGAGUGUUCAAAGCAGGCAUUUGUUGCCGUGAAGAUUGCAGCAUGGAAUAGCAGCCAUAGGACUUUAGCGUCUUAUUUGUUGGUUCUGGGACCUAAGUAAUGAUUGAUAGGGACAGUUGGGGGUGCUGGUAUUCCACGGCCAGAGGUGAAAUUCUCAGAUUCCUGGAAGACCAACUUAUGCGAAAGCAUUCACCAAGGAUGUCUUCU
rnacentral:rRNA from 1 species